rnacentral:rRNA from 1 species
GAUGAACGCUGGCGGCGUGCCUAAUACAUGCAAGUCGAGCGAACAGACAAGGAGCUUGCUCCUUUGACGUUAGCGGCGGACGGGUGAGUAACACGUGGGUAACCUACCUAUAAGACUGGGAUAACUUCGGGAAACCGGAGCUAAUACCGGAUAAUAUUUCGAACCGCAUGGUUCGAUAGUGAAAGAUGGUUUUGCUAUCACUUAUAGAUGGACCCGCGCCGUAUUAGUUAGUUGGUAAGGUAACGGCUUACCAAGGCGACGAUACGUAGCCGACCUGAGAGGGUGAUCGGCCACACUGGAACUGAGACACGGUCCAGACUCCUACGGGAGGCAGCAGUAGGGAAUCUUCCGCAAUGGGCGAAAGCCUGACGGAGCAACGCCGCGUGAGUGAUGAAGGUCUUCGGAUCGUAAAACUCGGUUAUUAGGGAAGAACAUACGUGUAAGUAACUAUGCACGUCUUGACGGUACCUAAUCAGAAAGCCACGGCUAACUACGUGCCAGCAGCCGCGGUAAUACGUAGGUGGCAAGCGUUAUCCGGAAUUAUUGGGCGUAAAGCGCGCGUAGGCGGUUUUUUAAGUCUGAUGUGAAAGCCCACGGCUCAACCGUGGAGGGUCAUUGGAAACUGGAAAACUUGAGUGCAGAAGAGGAAAGUGGAAUUCCAUGUGUAGCGGUGAAAUGCGCAGAGAUAUGGAGGAACACCAGUGGCGAAGGCGACUUUCUGGUCUGUAACUGACGCUGAUGUGCGAAAGCGUGGGGAUCAAACAGGAUUGGAUACCCUGGUAGUCCACGCCGUAAACGAUGAGUGCUAAGUGUUAGGGGGUUUCCGCCCCUUAGUGCUGCAGCUAACGCAUUAAGCACUCCGCCUGGGGAGUACGACCGCAAGGUUGAAACUCAAAGGAAUUGACGGGGACCCGCACAAGCGGUGGAGCAUGUGGUUUAAUUCGAAGCAACGCGAAGAACCUUACCAAAUCUUGACAUCCUCUGACCCCUCUAGAGAUAGAGUUUUCCCCUUCGGGGGACGGAGUGACAGGUGGUGCAUGGUUGUCGUCAGCUCGUGUCGUGAGAUGUUGGGUUAAGUCCCGCAACGAGCGCAACCCUUAAGCUUAGUUGCCAUCAUUAAGUUGGGCACUCUAAGUUGACUGCCGGUGACAAACCGGAGGAAGGUGGGGAUGACGUCAAAUCAUCAUGCCCCUUAUGAUUUGGGCUACACACGUGCUACAAUGGACAAUACAAAGGGCAGCGAAACCGCGAGGUCAAGCAAAUCCCAUAAAGUUGUUCUCAGUUCGGAUUGUAGUCUGCAACUCGACUAUAUGAAGCUGGAAUCGCUAGUAAUCGUAGAUCAGCAUGCUACGGUGAAUACGUUCCCGGGUCU